AACGAUGGCUAAUACCGCAUGAUGCCUACGGGCCAAAGAGGGGGACCUUCGGGCCUCUCGCGUCAGGAUAUGCCUAGGUGGGAUUAGCUAGUUGGUGAGGUAAGGGCUCACCAAGGCGACGAUCCCUAGCUGGUCUGAGAGGAUGAUCAGCCACACUGGAACUGAGACACGGUCCAGACUCCUACGGGAGGCAGCAGUGGGGAAUAUUGCACAAUGGGCGCAAGCCUGAUGCAGCCAUGCCGCGUGUGUGAAGAAGGCCUUCGGGUUGUAAAGCACUUUCAGUCGUGAGGAAGGUAGUGUAGUUAAUAGCUGCAUUAUUUGACGUUAGCGACAGAAGAAGCACCGGCUAACUCCGUGCCAGCAGCCGCGGUAAUACGGAGGGUGCGAGCGUUAAUCGGAAUUACUGGGCGUAAAGCGCAUGC
rnacentral:rRNA from 1 species